GUGGGGAAUUUUGGACAAUGGGCGAAAGCCUGAUCCAGCCAUGCCGCGUGCAGGAUGAAGGCCUUCGGGUUGUAAACUGCUUUUGUACGGAACGAAAAGACUCUGGUUAAUACCUGGGGUCCAUGACGGUACCGUAAGAAUAAGCACCGGCUAACUACGUGCCAGCAGCCGCGGUAAUACGUAGGGUGCAAGCGUUAAUCGGAAUUACUGGGCGUAAAGCGUGCGCAGGCGGUUAUAUAAGACAGAUGUGAAAUCCCCGGGCUCAACCUGGGAACUGCAUUUGUGACUGUAUAGCUAGAGUACGGCAGAGGGGGAUGGAAUUCCGCGUGUAGCAGUGAAAUGCGUAGAUAUGCGGAGGAACACCGAUGGCGAAGGCAAUCCCCUGGGCCUGUACUGACGCUCAUGCACGAAAGCGUGGGGAGCAAACAGGAUUAGAUACCCGGGUAGUCC
rnacentral:rRNA from 1 species